AGAGUUGAUCAUGGCUCAGACGAACGCUGGCGGCGUGCCUAACACAUGCAAGUCGAACGGAGCUAAGGAAGCUUGCUUCCGGAGCUUAGUGGCGGACGGGUGAGUAACACGUGAGUAACCUGCCUUUCAGAGGGGAAUAAUGUUUGGAAACGGACACUAAUACCGCAUAAUAUAUUUUAAUCGCAUGAUUGAAAUAUCAAAGGAGCAAUCCGCUGAAAGAUGGACUCGCGUCUGAUUAGCCAGUUGGCGGGUAACGGCCCACCAAAGCGACGAUCAGUAGCCGGACUGAGAGGUUGAACGGCCACAUUGGGACUGAGACACGGCCCAGACUCCGUACGGGAGGCAGCAGUGGGGGAUAUUGCACAAUGGGCGCAAGCCUGAUGCAGCAAACCGCCGCGUGCAGGAAGACGGUCUUCGGAUUGUAAACUGUUGUCCUCUGUGACGAUAAUGACGGUAGCAGAGGAGGAAGCCACGGCUAACUACGUGCCAGCAGCUGC
rnacentral:rRNA from 1 species